rnacentral:tRNA from 1 species
GGAGACGUGCCCGAGUGGUCUAAGGGAACAGUUUGCAAAACUGUGAUUCACCGGUUCAAAUCCGGUCGUCUCCUCCA